rnacentral:rRNA from 1 species
UUCGCAAUGCCCGAAAGGGUGACGAAGCGACGCCGCGUGCGGGAAGAAGGCCUUCGGGUUGUAAACCGCUGUCGGGAGUUAGGAAAUGCAAGGAUGUUAAUAGCAUUCUUGCUUGACUAAGGCUCCGGAGGAAGCCACGGCUAACUCUGUGCCAGCAGCCGCGGUAAUACAGAGGCGGCAAGCGUUGUUCGGAAUUAUUGGGCGUAAAGAGCACGUAGGCGGCCGUGUAAGUCGGUUGUGAAAGCCUUCCGCUCAACGGAAGGACGGCAUCCGAUACUGCAUGGCUCGAGUGCGGGAGGGGAGAGUGGAACUUCUGGUGGAGCGGUGAAAUGCGUAGGUAUCAGAAGGAACACCGGCGGCGAAAGCGGCUCUCUGGCCCGUAACUGACGCUGAGUGUGCGAAAGCUAGGGGAGCAAACGGGAUUAGAUACCCCGGUAGUCCUAGCCGUAAACGAUGGGCACUAAGUAGAGGGGUUUU